rnacentral:lncRNA from 1 species
UGAAAUUCUAAAUGAAUUCUCAAGGUUUUAGGUCUUUAGAUCUAAGGUCAUACUAACAUUGGACCUUAUAAAAUUGUAAAAUACUUUAUCAUAACACACGAAUUGUCACAGGAAUGUUGGUCCUUGGGCUGCAUAUUAAGGAAGGAUAAUUGUGCUGUUACCUUAGUUAAAAUGCAGAUGUAUGUUCCAUGCUUUUAGUUUUAUGUAGUAAGGCUGUGGAGCAUUCAUAGAAAACUAUGAGCUUAUAAAAGGCAGUUAAAUGCAUAAUGGUAUGUGCCUGUAGUACCAGCCACUUGGGAAGCCAAGGUGGGAGGUUCGAUUGAGCCCAGGAAUUCAAGGCUGCAGUGAGCAAUGAUAACACCACUGCACUCCAGCCUGGGCAACAGAGCUGUCUCUAAAAUAAUAACAAUAUACAGUAAUAAAAUAAAAAGUGGUUAGAAUAUAAGCCAUUUUUAAGAAAUAAAAAAAGGAAAUUCUGAUAAAUGCAGAAUAUUUUAGUCCCAUAAUGUUUUGAUUUCAUGAAUUAUUAAAGAGAUGCAAUAAAUUGGCUAAAACAUUUGUAAUAGUGUUAUGUGCAGUAACAUUUAGCACAGUGCCUAAGGCAACACACAUCUCAACUGAUUUGUUUUAUACACUGAAUAAAUCAUAACUUCAUUCUUCAAAUUUUAUAAAGCAGAACAAAUUGGCAUAUAAAAGAAGAAGCACAGAAAUCCAAAUAACAUGCAGGAGGACACUACAACUUUUCUUAAAUAAUUUUUAUUAGCAUUUCAUUUUUUCACUCAAGAAUAUUGUAUUUUACAGCUAUAAUAUCACACUGGUAGAGAGAGGCUGCAGUGAGUCAUUGAAACUCUUUGGAAGUUCAGAGCGUUACAUAGUGGUGACAAUUGAUGAACACACUGCUAUAAUUUUGCAGGAUAUAGAAGAAUUAAAUUGUGAGAAGGCAUCAGACAAUAUUAUUAUGAGGCUGAUGGCAUUAUCAUUCCAGUACAGAUAUUGUUGGAUAAUUUUAUAUACCAAAGAAACAUUAAAUUCAGAGUAUCCGCUUACAGAAAAGACACUUCAUCACCUAGCACUGAUUUAUGCAGCUUUGGUGUCAUUUAGGCUAAACUCUGAAGAACUGGAUGUAAAGCUUAUAAUUGCCCCAGGAGUAGAAGCAACUGCCUUGAUAAUUCGACAGAUUGCUGACCACAAUUUAAUGACCUCAAAGAGAGAUCCUCAUGAAUGGUUGGAUAAAUCCUGGCUUGAAGUUUCACCGUCUGAGGUAUAUUUUCUAAAUGUAUAAAUUAGAUAUUAGCAAAGCAAGUAUAAAACCCUGUAUUUGAAUUUACUUUCUGGUAACAAUUUUUCCCCAAAUGUCUCAAAUUGAGUGGUAGGUGCAAUGACAACAUUUUUAAUCUGCUGCAAUGAGUAGAAUAAAAUGG